UCUAAAUCUGAGCUGGUAAUUGGGAUACUGGAUUCUAAAAGGAGUUAGCAGUUACAACAUAAAUAGGAAAAAAAAAGCAAGUACAAUCACAACAUUGGUAUUAGCAGGGACCAAAAGUGUUGUUGUUUCUGACACAUGUUUUCACUGUGCACAGGGGUCCAAGAAAUGGAGCAAAUUUCUUAAGAUGACAACCAUUCAUUCACAGGAUCAGGAUUAUAAAGCCAGUCUAUGCAACAGUGGGGACCAGGCUUUUUCAUAUGAAACACCAUUAGAGAACAGGAAUCUAAUUCUCAUUUUUGAUGUUGGCCCCAUCAGUAUGGUUAAUGUUGUACUUCCACCAUAUCGGAUGUUUCGGUCUGCAAAGGAAAAAGCGAAGAUCAGGGGUACACUGUAGUUUUUCUGAGGCAAAUGGGACCUAGCAGAGAGCACCCCCCCCGCCCCCCGCACACUGUCAUUUCCUCACGAAGGCAUUGCCCUUUCAAGUCAACCACAACAGAGAUAGCUUCUGUUUCUUGACCAGAGCACAGAAACCCAGCACAGCCUCCCCUCUGCAACAUGGCCCUUCUGCUCUGAAACAGCAGGUGAGUCCAGCCAAGCCAGUCUAGUACCUUGAAACUUUUCCAGAAAAAAAAAAAAAGAAGAAGAAGAAGACACAAGUCUGUGUUUGUCUCGAUUAAACUCUUCAGGGGGAAAGACCAUAUGCUCAU
rnacentral:lncRNA from 9 species